CACCCACUUCCUACAUAAAAUUGGGGUUCCACCAGGCAAUGCUUUCUCCUUUGAAAAGCUUGACCCAGCAUUUUCUCUUUGUAAGCGAUAAGGCUUUCUAUCAAUCCCAAUGUUAUAAUCACCUUCUUCAAGAUCAAGUCGUCGGUAUGAUGAGAAAUCUUGGAGAGAUGAAGAAAGACGCAAAUUAUUUUUGUAGCCAGAGUUGGCAAAACCAAAACCAUGAUCAAUGGUUUCUGCUGGAGGUGGUGACGAUCCUGUCGACAUAUACGAAACAGCAGAAGUCUUGGAGGUCAAAAAAUGGCUUGUUAUGGCAGAAAAUGUAUCUGCUAUUCUACCAAACACCAUUUUUGAAGAAAUAAUUUAUUGUAUAUGGAAAUUGAUCAUCACAGGAUAGCAAUCCAGUUGCUAAGAUGUUCCUGCUUUUAACCUCAAACUUGAAUGCCAAGGAUUUGACAAAGGCAAAUAUGAG
rnacentral:misc_RNA from 1 species